rnacentral:rRNA from 1 species
AUUGAACGCUGGCGGCAUGCCUUACACAUGCAAGUCGAACGGCAGCACGGGAGCAAUCCUGGUGGCGAGUGGCGAACGGGUGAGUAAUAUAUCGGAACGUGCCCAGUCGUGGGGGAUAACGUAGCGAAAGCUACGCUAAUACCGCAUACGAUCUACGGAUGAAAGCGGGGGAUCGCAAGACCUCGCGCGAUUGGAGCGGCCGAUAUCAGAUUAGCUAGUUGGUGGGGUAAAAGCUCACCAAGGCGACGAUCUGUAGCUGGUCUGAGAGGACGACCAGCCACACUGGAACUGAGACACGGCCCAGACUCCUACGGGAGGCAGCAGUGGGGAAUUUUGGACAAUGGGCGCAAGCCUGAUCCAGCCAUGCCGCGUGAGUGAAGAAGGCC